GUCUUUUCUUGGUAGCCUGCAGCCAAAGAGCGAGCUCCGGCAACCGGCGGGCACCACACGGUUGCUGCUCCUCCACCUCCACCGUGAUGCAGGCCAACGCAUGGAAGUACAGAUCCAAGUGAAUUAUCUAGAUUUUGAGCUAUUGAGGAUGAUAUUUGGGACUAGUUUGGAAGAGGCAUGGAUUGGAAACGUUGGAGAACAACAAGAUUAA
rnacentral:lncRNA from 1 species